UUAAACGCCGCGUUUUCUAUUAGGGUUAACGUGUGUUCGUUCACAUCUCCGGAGAAUGGAGUUUCGGGAGAUUCAGGAGACAUCAUGAAUAAUCUCUGAGUGAAGCUCAGAUUGCGUCGGUUCGUAUUUGGUUCUUAUGCUCCAAAACAAUGCCUUGAUUAAUAGCCUUUAAGAAACUUAUUAACUCCAUCGAUUCACACCAGUCAUGAUUUCACAUUCAAUGCUCUCUUAUAGGCGGUGUAUAUCCACCUAUAAAAAGAAUUCAUGUCUACUGCAAUCUCUGAUUAGACCAAUCCAUUUCCAGAAUGGAAACCUACGAUGAAGAAGUCACCGUAAGCUUCGCAACCUAGAUUUGAGUACGGUUGUGUCAAUGACAAGACUGAAGCGACCCGUUGAGUCCAUUGAAGGAAAGAUCAAUACUUUGCAGGGAUGGGGGAUUUAUGCUCUUUGAAAUUUCUCCAAAGAGAUCGUUGCAACUCAAAUCAGGGAAUCCAUUGCUGAUUCGAACUUUGUUAGCCGUCAUGGUGCCUUCUUGCGGCGACUGUAAAAAAUAACUUUAAAGCUAUUCGAUCUGUCCGCCGUUUUGGAAUCAUACGAGUAGCGAGUUCCAGAGAUGAUAUGAGGAUAUACAUAUGUGGCAAAAGGAUGAGAAUAGUUUGGGAAUCGUUCCGGUUGCGACAGUGGUGCAUGGUGAUAAUGGGUUUUAAUAUGAUUCCUAUAAUGAUAACUUUUUGAAAUUGAAGUAUUAAAGGUGAUAUUUUUUAAGUUCGAUUGUGGUUUAGGAGAUAUGUUUAAAUGUUAUCUUGGGGGUAUAUAUAUAAUCAUAUGCCAAUUGUUUAUGUUCUGAAACAGAUAAUCAAACCUGUAUUGGUUUUGGUGUAGGGAUCUGGUGGACCAGAGGAGGAAGAUAAUUGAUGGCCGCCAUGGCUGAAACCUCUGCUUAAAGAGCAGUUCUUUGUUCGCUGCAAGUUUCAUGUAGACUCUCACAAGGGCGAUUGCAAUAUGUAAUACUUAGACUGCACCAACGGCGAGCUUUGCUCUCUUUGUCUUGCCCAUCACAAAGAUCACCUCACCAUCCAAUCCAAGUGCGUUCUUGCUUUUUUCUUACUUAGAUUUUUUGGUUGGUUGUGCUCUUUAGUUUAGUUUUUCAAUUUGUAUUGAUUGUUUUUGGCAGAUAGGUAGAUCUUCUUACCAUGAUUUUAUAUGUGUGAAUGAGUUACAAAAGUGUUUGCAUAUUUCCGGUAUCCAAAUUUAUGUGAUCAAUAGUGCUAAAGUCAUUUUCUACCACGAGAGGCCUCAUCCUUAAGUAAGGAAAAGUCUAUAUACAACGAAUAUCAGCGUCGGAGAAAAGAAAGUAAUGGUGGUUGGGAACGUAAAUUCGGAUGAAAAAAAAAGAUCACGACAGCUGGUAGACACGAGAUACGGUUGUAGUCAAUGGAUAACAAAAACAACUCAACUGUGAUUACCAGAGAAGAAAUCUAAAAACCAGGAAAAAUGAAGAUGACCUUAGCAGCGGAAAUGACGAGGACGACUAAAACAACAACGGUUGUGUUUUUGAUGUCGACACAUGCAUUCACAGGCCUCUCAAGGAAAAUGAGGUGGUUGUGAUCAAGUGAAGCAAGUUCUAAGGUGUUAUAUAUACACUUUACCAAAAAAAAAAUGUAAUAUAAACUAAGCGUUUAGGCAUGGAAAUGUCUUUUCAUUAAUUGGGAUUUAGUAUGAUUAUUGUA